CCGGGAGAGGGGAGUAGGCAAGCCGGAAGGUAGGAAAGCUGUCCAGGCUACUUCUUGUCUGAGCUCCACUGCUUUCCGGCCUUGAGAUAGGAGCUUGCCCAGGGUACUUGGCCUAUUUGGUUAAGUUGUCAGUGUUUGUUGGUGAAUUUUCAUUAAAAUGAAGAGAGGCUGUUGAAGAAAUCAUGGCAUACCGUUCACCUGACCCCCGUGGGCCCACCUUUAGGGCUAAGCCUAUCUUCUUGGACCCCUGACCCACUUAGUUCUGAUGCAGCAAGAAGGUGUCGUCUAUGAGGAAUGGGCCCUUAAGAAACCUAGAACCUGAUGGCACGUUUAUCUUCGACUUCCCGGUCGUCAGAACUGAGACAGAAUGGAAGUAUGAAGCAGGGAACUAUUUCCGAAGAGUUUUGAUGUUCUUGGAGCAGGUACACAAUUUUGUUUUUCUGUGGAAUUUUCUCGGUCUGACAUUCUUAUCUUGUUGACUAAUCACUUACUCUAUGCUGAAACAAUGGAAUUCCUCCAUCUUCAAAUAGAUCAUAAAGUGAUGCUGUGAGUAAUCCAAGCCUGAGGGGUCCUUUCCACACGUUUUUCUCAUUGGCCAUUGUCUAGUCUUUUGAUAUUCUCUUCAUUUUCUCUCAUGCUAGUCUCUGCAGUUCUGCAGAGAGUGGACACGAUUAUUAUUUUCUUUCAAAUCUGUGUAAGGAACAAACUAAAACCUUACUUUCUAAUGAUAGUAGGUCAGGUUUCUGGGAAAUGGAGUCCCUUUGUUUUGUCUAGCAAUGGAAAUAGGAUCUGGGGGACAACUGAACUACUCUUCAUAGUAGAGGGAGAAAAAUUUGGAGCUUGAAGGGAAUACGUGAAGAAGGCAGUAAGGAGGUAGGACAGGGAGGCAAGGGAAGAGAGAAGCCAAUAAGAUAAUAAGAUACUUCAUGAGAUUAUCCCUUUGUAGCAAAUUGCAUUUUCCAAAAAUAAUCACAAACAGGUGUCCUGUCCCACAUUCUCUUUCAAAACUUUGCUAUUCCCCCAUCAGGAGGAGAUAGCCUGUCUCUUCUCCUUAAAACUGACUGUGACACUGUGACUUCCUUGACAAGUAACAAUGUGGUGGAGCUGACUCCUAGGCUAGGUUAGAACAGGCAAUAUGGCUUCUGCCCAGCUCUCCCUCAGGAUGCUUGUGUGGGGACUCUGAGCUGCCAUGUAUGAAGUUUGGCCAUCCUGAAGCACAGAUGCUUAGAAAAGAUCCUGUGGAUAAACCAUAAAGAGAAUGACAUAUGCCCUGAGGAGAUCCAGC
rnacentral:lncRNA from 10 species